UGGGAUGUAGCCAAGUGGUAAGGCACCAGACUUUGACUCUGGCAUUUCCAAGGUUCGAGUCCUUGCAUCCCAGCCA
rnacentral:tRNA from 1 species